CUAUGGACCAGAUCAGCCCUGACGAACUCCCACCGAUUUCUUGUCGAUUACCUUCGCUUCGCCAGCGGGAGCGAGCUUGUCUACUUGUAGGAUUUUGCCUCGCAUCUAAUCCUCCGCGAAAGAGAUAUACUUCUCGAUCAAUUACACCUCCUCCAAACAGACAUAGUAGAUCAAGGUCAUUAUCAAGAUCAAGGGGAAGGAGUCGCUCUAGGAGCCAAGAUUGUAGAGAUGCAAGGAAUCCUGGAAACAACUUGUAUGUAACAGGUUUAUCCACACGAGUUACUAGCAGUGAUCUUGAGAAGUAUUUUAGCAAUGAAGGAAGGGUUCAGGAAUGCCAUGUGGUCAUGGAUCCCCGAACAAAGGAAUCUCGUGGUUUUGGCUUUGUAACAAUGGAGACUCUGGAGGAUGCAGACCGCUGCGUUAAGUACCUGAACCGUUCUGUACUUGAAGGCCGCUUAAUCACAGUGGAGAAGGUUUGGUGUGUGUAGCUUCAUCGAAAUCUCAAUACGUGCUCUUAACAGUCCGUACAUUCCUCAUCUCGACAUGAGCACUGCAUCGACAUCUCAAAGUCACGAAACCCGACUAAUUACAGAGGAUUGUUUGCCCUGUAUUCCUUUUUUACCCUGAUUAUAAACAUCAUACGGUAUGCCCUACAAAAUUACGUCAACUUGUGACCUUUUAUCUGACUCUGGUGCAUCUCCUCUUUGGUUGGCCAUAAUAUCCUGAUCAUACAAUGAUAUCUUUUUUGUUUUUUAAUCCAAGAAGGUAAACUACCAUAGCCUUCCUCCAUUUAGCAUAACUGUGAAUGUGAGUCCUGAAAUUAAAGUAAUGGAUUGUCAACUGUAAAAAUGAUUACAAUAACCUCAAAAACUAACUAUCAGGUUGUUUUCAUUGUUUUAUUGUCUGCUAAUUCUUUUCUGAAUCACCAACUAGCAUCGGCCAUAUUAUGCAGUUCACAGACCUCUGCAUUGUAAUUCUGUGUUGUCUAUGUUCUAUGCUGAUUGGCAGGCAAAAAGGAGGCAUGGGAGGACACCAACUCCUGGAAAAUACUGUGGUGAAAGAGAAAGAAGAGGUUGCGGUCGUAGACAUUCACGCAGCUACUCACCUCAUCGACCUUCAAGGGGCCAACGGCAAAGAUCCCACUCACCAUAUGGACGGGGGUCGCAAAGUAGGCGCAGGGAUCGAUCGACUUCACCUACCAGUGAUGGCAACCUCAGAUCUGAUUAGCACACUAAUCUGUGAACGUUCUUAUUCACUAUGUUUAAAUCAAUGUAGAAGUUCUGACAGAUCAGCAGAAACUUCCUUUUGUACCUCGCUUUCUUGGAUCGGAAUGCAGGAACUUCAUCUCGAAUCCCAAUUUUGGGCUCUCGAGCUCACCUCCAUGUGUAUGAUGGUUCAUCUAUGAUGUUUCAGACAGCAUGUAGUGUUGGCUUGAUGCACAUGGGCAUUUCAUUCUGCCCAUAAACAAGUUCUUUGUAUCUUCUUUUUUAUCUUUUUCUUUUGCUAUGCAUAUGUUAAGGUAUUGCAUUGUGACAUUUGAAGGACUUCAGGAAAAAAAGUGAAAAAAAGGCCUACAUUGUGUCAGAAUCA